GAGCAUGGCGGCAGCUACACAUGCAGUCGAGCGGUAACAGAUCCAGCUUGCUGGAUGCUGACGAGCGGCGGACGGGUGAGUAAUGCAUAGGAAUCUGCCCGAUAGUGGGGGAUAACCUGGGGAAACCCAGGCUAAUACCGCAUACGUCCUACGGGAGAAAGGGGGCUUCGGCUCCCGCUAUCGGAUGAGCCUAUGUCGGAUUAGCUAGUUGGUGAGGUAACGGCUCACCAAGGCCACGAUCCGUAGCUGGUCUGAGAGGAUGAUCAGCCACAUCGGGACUGAGACACGGCCCGAACUCCUACGGGAGGCAGCAGUGGGGAAUAUUGGACAAUGGGGGGAACCCUGAUCCAGCCAUGCCGCGUGUGUGAAGAAGGCCCUCGGGUUGUAAAGCACUUUCAGCGAGGAAGAACGCCUAGCGGUUAAUACCCGCUAGGAAAGACAUCACUCGCAGAAGAAGCACCGGCUAACUCCGUGCCAGCAGCCGCGGUAAUACGGAGGGUGCAAGCGUUAAUCGGAAUUACUGGGCGUAAAGCGCGCGUAGGUGGCUUGAUAAGCCGGUUGUGAAAGCCCCGGGCUCAACCUGGGAACGGCAUCCGGAACUGUCAAGCUAGAGUGCAGGAGAGGAAGGUAGAAUUCCCGGUGUAGCGGUGAAAUGCGUAGAGAUCGGGAGGAAUACCAGUGGCGAAGGCGGCCUUCUGGACUGACACUGACACUGAGGUGCGAAAGCGUGGGUAGCAAACAGGAUUAGUCCCUGG
rnacentral:rRNA from 1 species